GCCCCAUUAGUUCAGAUGGUAGAACAAUCCAACCUGCAUGUCAGGCAAUAUAGUCUGCGGUUCGAGUCCGCAAUGGGGCACUA
rnacentral:tRNA from 1 species